GUUGGUGCUUUAACGUGGUGGGUACACCUCUUCCCAUUCCGAACAGAGUAGUUAAGCACCAUAGUACCGAUGAUACUUGAUCCGAAAGGUUCCGGGAAAGUAGGUAGGCGCCAACA
rnacentral:rRNA from 1 species